UUUAUGUCAGCUUUUCUUUCUCAAACAUCAAAGUUAUCUAGGGUUUUAUAGUCACUUAAGGUAUUUUUCUUCUUGCAUAAAGUUCUUCUUUCCACAAUUUUAUUUGAAAGUACCAAAGAGCAGCUGAGCUGGGGUUCUGCUCUUUCCCUUCUUGUAACCAAAAUGAUGGUAUGCUACGUUAUUUUCUUUGAUGUGCCCAGACUCAAGAUCCCAGUCAGCUUCUUCAGGGUCUUAAAAAAGGUCUGUAUCUAGUUUCUUGUUAUAAAGCAUGUGAAGAAUGGCACACAAUAGACAUGAGAACCAUAACAAGGUAGUAGGUAAGAUUUACAGAAUUGCAACCUUUCCAGCAUUUGUUUUCACCAAUAUACUCUUUAUAUUUUCAUAGAUUUAAAGUCUAAACCGUCAUAACCCAUCUUUGCUAACACUUUUCCAGUCUGCACUUUUUGCCUUUCUCAUAGGAAAAUAUGCAAGCCUGUUACCAUGUGUCCUAUCUGCUGAGAAUCUUCAUCUGUGGCAAUAUACAGAACCAUCAUUAACAGGGGAGAAGCUGCCGAGUGAGACCCGUGGUUGCUUCUGUUGAACAAGCUGAUCGUGGUGAUCUUGGGAACAUACAACUAAUCCAUAUGUAUUUUUUUACCCUUAUGCCAAAAUGAUCAUGUUUUCAACAUCAGCUGAUAAAAUCUCUCUCUUAAAGCUCUUACAGAAAGCCAUGGAUGUACCCAUCUUCGCUAAGUAGUGUAUUUAAGAUGUUUCCAAAAUCUAGAGGUAACACAAGAUGAAAUAUAUAAAUUCUGAGAAUUUCUCCUUGAUUAUUUGUGGAACUUGAAAAUGGCAUUGACAAUCAGCUGGUGGUAAGCAGGGCAAGGUGUCCUGAAACAAUUGGCCUAUGCCUCAGAGCAUAGAAUCUGAUCAUUUGAGCAUACACAGCCAAUAAUAGCAACAUGGAUUUGUUCACGUGGGAAGCAGGAUUGUGGAAUGUGAACUGGAGGAGUGCCUGUUUUGCAGUAAUUAAUUACUGCAUACCAUAAAUCCUGAAGGAACUCUGCAGACACCAAGGUCAAUGAAGAAGGAGGGAGAGGAGGUGCUCCAGGCAAAGAUUUCCUGCAGUUUGUGGAGAAGACCCAGCCAUGGAGCAGAUAUCUGCUCUACAGCCUGUGGAUGACCCCAUGCCAGAGCAGGUGGAUGUGCCCUGCAGGGAGCAACGCUGUGUAGGCAUCCCUGGAGUACAAUCCUGUGAGGAACUCUGAGGGACCCACAUGCAAAGAGUCUUUUCCAGAAGUGCAUUCCAUGGAAGGGAACUGCACUGGAGCAGUAUGUGAAGAACUGUAGCCCUUGGUAAGGAUUCAUGUAGGAGAAUUUUGUGAAGGACUGUAUCCUGGAGAAGAGGAAGAGCUUGAGGGAGGAGGGGCAGAAAUGAAGGAUUAUGAAGUGCUGCAAAUCCCAUUCCCCAUCACUUUGGACUUUUCAGGGGGAGGAGCUAAAGAAUUUGGGAGUGAUGUUUAGCCUGAGAAGAAAGAAAGGGUGGGGUGAAGGUGUUUUUACAUUUUUCAUUGUUUCUCAUAUCCCUCUCUCUUAUUAAUUGUCAAUACAUUAAAUUAAUUCACCAACUUGAACUUGUUUUACCCUUGACAGGAACUUAUGAGUGAUCAUCCUGUCUUUACCUCAACUCAGGAAUUUUUGUUGUAUUUUCUCCCUCUGUCCUGUUCAGGAGGGCAAGUGAUGGAGUGGCUUAGUGGGCAGCUGGCAGCCAGUUAAGGUCAACCCACCACAGUAGUAAAGGACAAUAUUUCAGGGAAAUCCUAGGUGACUACCAUGAAAGAUGUCUCUGCCAAUGGUUUUAAGCUCAAGUCAACUUUGUUGAAAAAAUGAAUUGUAGAAUGUGGAAAUUCCUUGUCUUAUAAUUGCAGUUAUAUGUGAAUGCACGUAUAUGCUAAACAAAUCUUGUAAGAAUAGAAAAGCUAUUAAGAAGUGACUGAGAUCUGUGGUAUGGUCACAGAAAGAUGCUGCAAGACCAUUUAAUUGAAUUCUGAAAAGCCUAGGUAUAUUGCUGUUGCAUAUUCUAUUAAUUUUAUAAUUUUGUCCAUUUUUCUUGAUCAAAUUGGUGCAAUGUUGCCGAUUUGGCAUAUGCUGACAAUAGUUGCGUGUAUUAUAAAUGUAUUGUACUGGAAUAGCUUAGAAAAUCAAUGCUAAUAUUAUAUUAGCAAACUACUAGCUGCUGACUCAUGACAUGACAGAGCAAUGCUGCAUAUUUUUGUGUAUAUUAGGGUAUUCUGUCUGAAACCAGCUGCCACUAAGAUGUCAAGCCUGAAAGAUGUGGAGGUAUGUUUAUUGGUAUAAAAAUUAAAUGCUGUAACAUCAAACAGAAAAAUUUCUAAAUAGUUACUCAUCCUGAAUAGGAACUUCCCCAUAGCAGUAGUCCCUAAACUGGGCAAUCCCUCAUAAGGAAGGAAAGGAAAAAAAAGAAAGAAAAAGAAAAAGAAAAAGAAAAAGAAAAAAAAGAAAAAGAAAAAGAAAAAGAAAAGAAAAAGAAAAAGAAAAAGAAAAAGAAAAAGAAAAAGAAAAAGAAAAAGAAAAAGAAAAAGAAAAAGAAAAAGAAAAAGAAAAAGAAAAAGAAAAAGAAAAAGAAAGAAAAAAAGAAAAAGAAAAAGAAAAAGAAAAAGAAAAAGAAAAAGAAAAAGAAAAAGAAAAAGAAAAAGAAAAAGAAAAAGAAAAAGAAAAAGAAAAAGAAAAAGAAAAAGAAAAAGAAAAAGAAAAAAAAAGGAAAACCUUCUGUGGUCUGGUGUUCCUGCCACAGUACAGGCCGAGGGCCCCCAGACAUAGUCCUGGUGUUCCUGGACUGAGCAAAGGCUGAACAGUUCCAAAAAACCCCUUCUGGCCUCAGCUAUGGACAGAAAAAACAGGGAAAACAGCAAGGGAAAACCCCCCGUCUGUCGGCAGAGUGGGGAACUCCUAGAGCACUGCUUAUCUCUGUGUUUUGAACACAUACAUGAAAAAAACUCCACCACUUUUCCUUCUCCCGCUCUUUGCUCUCAGACCUAGUUUUAUAGGUGCAGAACUCAAUAUCCAGCAUAAACAGAACUGAUGACUGGGGAUACAAGCAUCAUGAAGUCACCUUAGGACAUUAACUUAAAUGCUUCUUUAGUUUAAGUUAUUGAAUCUGGGUUCUGAUUCUCUAUUGUUGCCAUCAAGGCAACUUCCCUACCAAAUGCAGUCCUUUAAAAAACCCAAACAAGGGGAUUAUCAUUGGUGCCUCUGGUUUUCCAUUGUGACAAAUUCUCUGUUCUAUACUAUUUAAAAUGGAGUUGGAUGCAGUUCUGUAAUGACAAACAACACAAAUGUAUAGCUUUACACAGGUUUUAAGGAUGCAAUCAAAUUUUACUCAGCAUGAGUAACAUAUUAGACAUUAUUGCUUAUUACAGGCGGUGCCAUUCAGAAAAAUACCAGAUCAUUCUGGCCUGUGAUUUAGACAUUGCAAUAUAUGUUUAGAACAAUUCAAAUAAAAUCUGUAUUAGCCUAAGGAUUAUAAGGUGGCAAUAUUCAGCUUGUGGUGAAAAAAAGAUAUUAGUAGGUGGCAUUACAUGUCUACCUGUUCACUUUUAUGUAUGAUUGAUUUUAGAAGAUCAGGGCAAGAUCACGAAAUAUCCUGUAAAGACAUUAUAGUGUCAUUAAAGUGACUUUUUUUUGGUAAUGACAUAUUGUUUCUGAAGUGGUAAUUUUAAAAGGGAAUUGACUCAUUCAUACACGUGUAGGAUAUUCUAAAGAGU